GACGAACGCUGGCGGCGUGCUUAACACAUGCAAGUCGAACGGUGAUGCUCCAGCUUGCUGGAGUGGAUCUGUGGCGAACGGGUGAGUAACACGUGAGCAACCUGCCCCAGACUCUGGAAUAAGCGCUGGAAACGGCGUCUAAUACUGGAUACGAAACUGGCCCGCAUGGGCAUGGUUUGGAAAGUUUUUCGGUUUGGGAUGGGCUCGCGGCCUAUCAGCUUGUUGGUGAGGUAAUGGCUCACCAAGGCGACGACGGGUAGCCGGCCUGAGAGGGCGACCGGCCACACUGGGACUGAGACACGGCCCAGACUCCUACGGGAGGCAGCAGUGGGGAAUAUUGCACAAUGGGCGAAAGCCUGAUGCAGCGACGCCGCGUGAGGGAUGACGGCCUUCGGGUUGUAAACCUCUUUCAGCAGGGAAGAAGCGAAAGUGACGGUACCUGCAGAAGAAGCACCGGCUAACUACGUG
rnacentral:rRNA from 1 species